rnacentral:rRNA from 1 species
AAGUCUAAAACGACUCUCGACAACGGAUAUCUCGGCUCUCGCAUCGAUGAAGAACGUAGCGAAAUGCGAUACUUGGUGUGAAUUGCAGAAUCCCGUGAACCAUCGAGUCUUUGAACGCAAGUUGCGCCCCAAGCCUUCUGGCCGAGGGCACGUCUGCCUGGGUGUCACAA